AGUUUGAUCAUGGCUCAGGACGAACGCUGGCGGCGUGCUUAACACAUGCAAGUCAAGGGGGCCCAGCAAUGGGCAACCGGCGAACGGGUGCGUAACACGUGAGCAACCUACCGAAAUGCGGGGGAUAGCCGGCCUAACGGCCGAGUAAUACCGCAUACGCUCUUUAUGAGGCAUUUCAUGGAGAGGAAACCUACGGGGUAUUUCGAGGGGCUCGCGGCCUAUCAGCUAGUUGGCGAGGUAACGGCUCACCAAGGCAACGACGGGUAGCUGGCCUGAGAGGAUGGCCAGCCACAUUGGGACUGAGAUACGGCCCAGACUCCUACGGGAGGCAGCAGUGGGGAAUCUUGCGCAAUGGCCUAACGGCUGACGCAGCGACGCCGCGUGUGGGAUGAAGCUCCUCGGAGUGUAAACCACUGUUGCCCGGGACGAAUAGCUCGAUUAAUCGAGCCUGACGGUACCGGGUGAGGAAGCACCGGCUAACUCCGUGCCAGCAGCCGCGGUAGUCGGGCCCAAUCGCC
rnacentral:rRNA from 1 species